rnacentral:lncRNA from 1 species
GAAGGUGAUCAAACCAGACACAAGCCCUCACGGCAAGAGGAUUAGCAUCUCCUGCCACUAGCAGAGGACUUAGCGAUUCCUUUAAUUAUCAAGCUCUUCAAUCCACAGAAAAACCAAGAGAGCUUGCAGUAGGAGAAAGCGGGAGCCGAGCCAGCCUGGAGAGCAAACAGAUAUUGCUGUGGAUGUUUCUGUUUAGGGCCGAGGAAGACAAUGAUGCUGUUUUUCCUACUGAUGGAGACGACUACUACAACUAUCUAUAACGAAAGAAGAGGCCUAAAGAUGAAGUCCUGCUCUCAGCUGGAUCCCUGUCUGACCAGGAGCUUGGCUCCCAGACUUUCUCCUGAGAAAGAAGAAUGCCUUUAAGUUUUCAGAGAGGAGACAGACUAGUUAAGAGUCUUGCCACACUGGAGGCUUCUGUCCCGGGCAGAGAAUGUGCUCAGAGCAGUCUACAGGCUCUUUCUGCAGCUGCAGGUUGGGGGACUCAUCUUCCUUCAGUCCACAAAGCUUCAUAUUUUGAAUUCAGAAGGUAAUUCAUUCAUGCAACUACUUGGACUACCCAAGAUUCAUUGCUUCAGAGACUUGCAGAGAUUUGCAACUCAAGCCUUCAAGACCUGCCAGAGACAGGAGGUAUGCUAGGCUUGUUACCCCUGUCAAUGAUCACUCUGCAGAAUUGUUCUGCCAGGGAUUGCUAUUGGCUAGCACUCCAAAGCCCCUAACAGCGUUCAAACUGUAAUACUUACCAACAGUUUUUGUGUGUCCCCCUGAAGCCUGGUGAGAUCACAGGGCUGUAACACUUGUAACUUAUGGGCUAGGCACCCUGAGGCCUGUUGAGGACAUGCAACUGUAACUCCCACAAUCUUUCUUAAUUUGUACCCUGAAGACUGCUGAGAGCAUAGAGCUGCAGCCCUGACACUGAAUCUUGGUUGGCAUCCUGCCACUGGCAAGGAUCUCAGAGGAUGUGUUUGAGUCUUGACUGUCCUCUUUGAAUUGUUUCAACGUGGCAAAUAUGGUUUUCUAAAUUUCCCUUUGCUGUCUACUGACUUCAUUAUUGGAAGAUGUGCAAGAACCUGAUACCGGAGAAUUAACUAUCUCAACUGUUAACUGGCUGGGAAUUCAACAAAAAUUCAAUGGUGGGAGCCUAUGGGAAGUCAACAGGAAUCACUGCAAUCAAUAGAACAGUUUUGGAAUGCCGAGGGAGAGAUGGACUUUGUCAUGCUUCUGUUGUUCAGAGCAUCCACGCUUUAUGCUUCAUUGUACCUCUUUGGAGCAAAAUACCAGGACUCUGUAAGCAGUUUUAAAGUGAAUGGCACAGCUGCCAGUUUCCGGUGUCAGAUGUCAGUCUGAUCAAUUCCCCUGCUAGGAAUAUUGAUCUUGUUUCUCUUGAGUUUCCUUUCAUAGAUAUCUGCUACCCAUCAUGAAGGGCUAUGGUAAGGUUCUGAAGGAACUGGAGUUUUCUGGUAUGAGUGACACCAGGCUGUUACUAGGAGGAGUCCUGACCAAACAGGUGUUGGGCACAGACCCUUGCAUUUUAUUUUCUUCUGUCUUUCUUCCAAAUGGCACAUGGCCAAAAUCUUUUGUCUUGUGGACCUCUUGGUUGCUGGAUGUCACACCUGAUGCUGAAGGCACUAGGGACAUGGGGACAUUACAAGCUGUGCACAUACAAGGGGUUUCCCAUUGAAAGCUGAUGAGUCUGCUGGAAGAGAGAUUUCCUGGUGAGCUUGGCACAGAGUUUUACAGCAGGUUUGGGCAUCACACAAUGAUGAUGUAAACUCAUCCUGUUUUCUUGAGGGAGGUAAGAGGCCUUCCUCUCAGGGGUAUCCAGGUUGGUCUCAUUGUAUUGUUCUGUGCAACCUGAGGCCAUGGAGACAAUGAAGGACAGCAGCUAGGAGGAUACAUGGUCUUGAAUGCCUUCUUCAGGAAUCAGAAUAAUUGAUUAUUCACCAUGAAGAUGGGUUAGUCUGGAACCCUAACAAGAGUGGGCAAGCUAAACAUUCCCAAGGGGUUGUAAUAUUUCCCAUUGCUCUUCUUCAGGUUCACUUUUCAAAUAUCUAAAGUGUUUUUGUGAUUAACUUGGGUAAAAUUUGUUGACUUGAAUUUGUUAUCUCUCUCAGUUGGUGAUAUUUUCCUGGAAACAUGUUUCAGAUGAGUGUAAAGGCUCUCCUGUGGGAUUGUUGUAUAGUAGUUAAGAGAUGGUAGAGCCCAUGUGUGCAUUGGGGUGGGAUCUCAGUGGUGUUUCCUCAGGGAGGCAUCAACAUUGGUCAAUAGGCUUUUUGAUAAUUCUAGGAGAGGUUCUGUAUGAGGGCAUUCUUUCCUGGAAAGAAAGAACACAACGAGGAGUACAGGCCUCUAUGUUCCCAUUGUCAACUCCUCCAAUAGAUUAAUAGGUUUCUCUUAAUCUUCCCUUCUAACUAAGAAAUGGGGCUCCCUCACAUACAAUAGGCUACCCCAUGACAAAACAUAAUCUUUUAACUACUUGUGAAACUGAACAUUAAGAAACCAGAGCUUUUUUUGCUGUUGUCCAGGCUUUGUUUAAAUGUUGCAUGGAAGUUCAAACUCAAAGACUGGUGACAGUGUCCUUUUGAGUAUUUAACUACCAAAGUCUGGAGACCUAAGAGGGCAGAGGGAUUAACAUGGCAGUCAAUUCUUGGUGCUUGCUCUUCAAGAACAACUAGGAACCAGGGACCAAUGGCAUCCUUUUGAAAGACUCCUAUUCUGAUACAUUUCCUGUCCUUUUCAUGAGAGAGGCCAUGAAGAAUCCCAAGACUGGACUCUAACCAAUGCACAUCCUGCAGAGAGGGAAGUCAAUGAAGAAGGAUGUUCUCUAUGUUUCCGAAGAAAGUCGCUUCUGAAGAAAGUUGUAUAGAGGACCAUGACUCAUCCCAGCAGAUGGUGUACUUGGGAAAAGAACAAUGAAGUCACUCCCGGGUCCUUGAAAACAACUCUUAUUAGAUUUUUUAAAAAUUGGUUUUGGGCCUGGCGGUCGUGGCACACGCCUUUAAUUCCAGCACUUGGGAGGCAGAGGCAGGUGGAUUUCUGAGUUCAAGGCCAACCUGGUCUACAAAGUGAGUUCCAGGACAGCGAGGGCUAUACAGAGAAACCCUGUCUCAAACAAAACAAAACAAAACAAAACAAAACGAAACAAAACAAAACAAAUCAAAACAAAACAAAAAUGGUUUUAGUAGGAAAAUGUUAAUUCUUGACCACUAUUUUUUCUCUUAAACACUUGGCAUGAAAGUAUAGCUAAAGAACAAAACAAUUGCAAAGGAAUUUGGGCCUCUGACUUGAAUGUGCAUUUCUACUGUGGAAGGAUCUUCUAACAGUAAAAUAACAAACUGCAUAUUA